UGAGCAACCUACCGAACUGUGGGGGAUAGCCGGCCUAACGGCCGAGUAAUACCGCAUACGCUCUCAGAGAGGCAUUUCUUUGAGAGGAAACCUACGGGACAGAUCGAGGGGCUCGCGGCCUAUCAGCUAGUUGGCGAGGUAACGGCUCACCAAGGCAACGACGGGUAGCUGGUCUGGGAGGAUGGCCAGCCACAUUGGGACUGAGAUACGGCCCAGACCUCCGUACGGGAGGNAGCG
rnacentral:rRNA from 1 species